ACCCGCUGAACUUAAGCAUAUCAAUAAGCGGAGGAAAAGAAACCAACAGGGAUUGCCCUAGUAACGGCGAGUGAAGCGGCAACAGCUCAAAUUUGAAAUCUGGCGUCUUUGGCGUCCGAGUUGUAAUUUGCAGAGGGCGCUUUGGCAUUGGCAGCGGUCCAAGUUCCUUGGAACAGGACGUCACAGAGGGUGAGAAUCCCGUACGUGGUCGCUAGCCUUUACCGUGUAAAGCCCCUUCGACGAGUCGAGUUGUUUGGGAAUGCAGCUCUAAAUGGGAGGUAAAUUUCUUCUAAAGCUAAAUACUGGCCAGAGACCGAUAGCGCACAAGUAGAGUGAUCGAAAGAUGAAAAGCACUUUGGAAAGAGAGUUAAAAAGCACGUGAAAUUGUUGAAAGGGAAGCGUUUGCAGCCAGACUUGCCUGUAGUUGCUCAUCCGGGUUUUUACCCGGUGCACUCUUCUAUAGGCAGGCCAGCAUCAGUUUGGGCGGUCGGAUAAAGGUCUCUGUCAUGUACCUCUCUUCGGGGAGAACUUAUAGGGGAGACGACAUGCAACCAGCCCGGACUGAGGUCCGCGCAUCUGCUAGGAUGCUGGCGUAAUGGCUGU
rnacentral:rRNA from 1 species